rnacentral:rRNA from 1 species
UGUGCGAAAGCACGAUGAGGGGAUCCCAAGUGCUGGCACGUAAGUGUCAGCUGUUUCUUAGUCUAAAAAACUGAGAGAGUAAGGGCUGGGUAAGACGGGUGCCAGCCACCGCGGUAAUACCUGCAGCUCAAGUGGUGGCCGCUAUUAUUGGGCCUAAAACGUCCGUAGCCUGUUUAGUAAAUGCUUGGGUAAAUUGUGUAGCUUAACUAUACGAAUACCGGGUAGACUGCUAAACUUGGGACCGGGAGAGGCUAGAGGUACUCCUGGGGUAGAGGUGAAAUUCUGUAAUCCUAGGGGGACCACCAGUGGCGAAGGCGUCUAGCUAGAACGGGUCUGACGGUGAGGGACGAAGCCCUGGGGCGCAAACCGGAUUAGAUACCCGGGUAGUCCAGGGUGUAAACGCUGCUUGCUUGAUGUUAGUUGGGCUCCGAGCCCAACUAGUGUCGGAGAGAAGUUGUUAAGCAAGCUGCCUGGGAAGUACGGUCGCAAGACUGAAACUUAA